rnacentral:rRNA from 1 species
CAGCCGUAAACUAUGCGCGUUAGGUGUACUGGUGACCACGAGUCACCGGGGUGCCGAAGGGAAACCGUGAAACGUGCCGCCUGGGAAGUACGGUCGCAAGGCUGAAACUUAAAGGAAUUGGCGGGGGAGCACCGCAACGGGAGGAGCGUGCGGUUUAAUUGGAUUCAACACCGGAAAUCUCACCGGAUAGGACAGACAUAUGAUAGUCGGGCUGAAGACUCUACUUGAUGAUCUGAGAGGAGGUGCAUGGCGUCAGUGACU